UACGGAGGGGGCUAGCGUUGUUCGGAAUUACUGGGCGUAAAGCGCACGUAGGCGGCUUUGUAAGUUAGAGGUGAAAGCCCAGGGCUUAACCCUGGAAUUGCCUUUAAGACUGCAUCGCUAGAAUCGUGGAGAGGUGAGUGGAAUUCCGAGUGUAGAGGUGAAAUUCGUAGAUAUUGGAAGGAACGCCGGUGGCGAAAGCGACACACUGGACCUUGUCUGACGCUGAGGCACGAAAGCCAGGGGAGCAAACGGG
rnacentral:rRNA from 1 species